rnacentral:rRNA from 1 species
CACGUAGGGACCGAGCGUUGUCCGGAUUUAUUGGGCGUAAAGAGCUCGUAGGCGGUUUCGUAAGUCGGAUGUGAAAACUCAGGGCUCAACCCGGAGACGCCAUCUGAUACUGCGAUGACUGGAGUCCGGUAGGGGAGCAUGGAAGUCCUGGUGUAGCGGUGGAAUGCGCAGAUAUCAGGAGGAACACCAAUGGCGAAGGCAGUGCUCUGGGCCGGUACUGACGCUGAGGAGCGAAAGCAUGGGGAGCGAACAGG